GAGUCACACAGCUAAUAGUAAUACGGAAGCGGGGAUUCUUAAACUGCCUGAUUGACUCCAAAAUGGACUUUACUGCUUUCUACUGAUAAAAGAAUUUGAAAUGACACUCAGAGCUAACUCAGUCUUCUAGAACGCUGGAGCUGGGAGUCACUCUAGGGACAGCCCUUGUUCUGUAAACAAGGGAGCAACAGCCCUGACAGAGCCAACUGGCAGGAAGAGCCAGCAAAGUUGCCUGCAAGAGAGAGCACGUGGCCUGAGGGGUGAACCAGGGACAGCCUCUGAAGAGCGAAGGAUUUAUCUGAGCAGCCAAAUGUCCACUGACAGACAGGUCUGUGUGUGCUAGAGAAACUUGUUCCACAGCUCAGAUGAAAAACGUAUUGUGGAAUUCACCCACAAGGGGAAGUGAGUUAAUGACUGGGGCGUUUCAUCUUCUGCCUAGAUGCGUCAUAAAAUCAACUUGUAAAGCCUGGCUCAGAAAAUACAUUUACUCUCCCAGAUGUGGUUCCAUAUAGGGCUAUGAAACAUUUCAAAGAGUGAUCGCUCACAGAGGAGUGCGUUCUUAGGCUUUCUCUGUGCUGGGAGUGGGGCCGGUGGCCUGAGCCUGACAGCCCAUCCAGGCUGUGGUCAAAUUUGCUGACAAGCAGCCCAAAUCUGCCCAGAGCAUCUGCUCACAUCUGGGAUUGUGACUCAUCUGCCUCUGUCUCCCCCAGCACUAUUCACUCACUCCUGCAGGCCUGAGCAUGUAAGCCCCACGGUGCCCAGGGCCCAGCGCCCAGACUUGUCCCUCCACCCAAGCACCCAUCACGGCUUGUCCUUAUCUCCAACACUGCCUGCCCCUCCCAUUUAGACUUGGUCUGCUUUCCCAGCUCCAGGUUCAGGGCAAACCAUGCUUAGACCUUCUUGGACUCAGCCUGAGCUAUCAUAAGAGGUUCCCAGGCUAAAACACAUGCACAGUCUCCUGCACAGUGGUGUCUGUUCUGGCCCUUUAAAUUUAGCAGAUCCACACUCCCACCACGCCCAGCUGGCCCACCAGAGUGAGCCACAGGCAACACAUGUUCUAAACCAACCCUGUUCACCCUGGACCUACUAUU
rnacentral:lncRNA from 1 species